CAGCAGCCACGGUAAUACGUAGGGUGCGAGCGUUAAUCGGAACUACUGGGCGUAAAGCGUGCGUAGGCGGUGAGUUAAGUCUGCUGUGAAAUCCCCGGGCUCAACCUGGGAAUGGCAAUGGAUACUGGCAAGCUAGAGUGUGUCAGAGGAUGGUGGAAUUCCCGGUGUAGCGGUGAAAUGCGUAGAGAUCGGGAGGAACAUCAGUGGCGAAGGCGGCCAUCUGGGACAACACUGACGCUGAGGCACGAAAGCGUGGGGAGCAAACAGGAUUAGAUACCCCCGUAGUCCCUGUCUCUUAUAA
rnacentral:rRNA from 1 species